GUUGAAAAGUACUUUGAAGAGAGAGUUCAAGAGGACGUGAAACCGGUAGGAUGGAAACGGAUAGAGCCAACGAACAAGCCCGUAUUCAGCUAGUCGGCUGCGUGCGGCAUGCCUGUGUGCUCGUUCAGGGUACAUGGGUGUGUGCGGUAUGCGGUUGGCUAGUGCAUUUGCGGGUGAUGUGCGCUGAGGCGUGUGGUGGAGUCCUGCAAACUGUUUGGAGAGGCCUUGCCUUCGGGCUUGAAACCUACAAGCAGGGAGUAGGGUUUCUGCUGCACGUAGAUGAAACGACUAGGUGUACUCGCGCUGUCUUGCCGCCGGGCUGAUUGCUUGGUCAGUCGCAUGCGACUAGGCCAUGUUGGUCAGUCUUGGUGGUAGGGCAGUGCCCUGGUCGACCCUCGGUGUAAAAGUUGGUCAUCUCUCCGACCCGUCUUGAAACACGGACCAAGGAGUCUAGCGUAUACGCGAGUCAUUGGGUGGAAAACCCAUAGGCGAAAUGAAAGUGAAGGUCUCCUUGCGAGGCUGAUAUGCGAUCCGUUGCACUACGGUGUACGCGGAGCAGCAUAGCCCCGUCUCGACUGCUUGCAGUGGGGCGGAGGUAGAGCGUAUUCGCUGGUACCCGAAAGAUGGUGAACUAUGCCUGAGCAGGAUGAAGCCAGAGGAAACUCUGGUGGAGGUCCGAAGCGCUUCUGACGUGCAAAUCGAUCGUCUGACUUGGGUAUAGGGGCGAAAGACUAAUCGAACCAUCUA
rnacentral:rRNA from 1 species